AUGAACCUUACAGAAAAACAAACCAAAGAAAAUGAAGCAAUAGCCUCCAUUGAAAUAAAGCCAUCAGAGAGCCAACUGCAGUCGUAUCUUGUCCUUGAAGCAGCUGUGGCUCCCGUUUUGCAAGACCUCGUAACUCUUGGCAGACAUAAUUGGAAGUUUGCCACCCUUAAUUUUGAUGACUCCAGAUUUUUUUUAAAACAACAAGAGAAAGUGAUGAGUGAUACUUUUAAAGAGGGUAUGACUGGUAAGGGGCCUCCUCCAAAGUAUGUGUUUAACUUUAAUAAUAGGGAACCGGAUGAGUGAUCAUAUUCAUACAAAGAUUGUAAUGAUGAUACCAUUUAAAAGUGAUUAUGGGUCAGAUCCAGGAGAGAGAUGACCCAAAACUUGAUUAUUCUAACUCAAGAUGGAUCUACACUGCCAAAUAAUGUUGUUUAACUGCAUACCGUGUUUCCCCGAAAAUAAGACAGUGUCUUAUAUUAUUUUUUGCUCCUAAAGAUGCACUAGGUCUUAUUUUCAGGGGAUGUCUUAUUUUUCCAUGAAGAAGAAUUCACAUUUAUUGUUGAACAAAAAAUGAACAUUUAUUAUAUACUGUACAGUAGUUUUCAUCACAAACCAACAUAACCAAACCAGACAAACUGUAACUCCUGUCAAGAAUUUCUUGUUAUUACCAUUAUUUCCAUGUACAACUCGUAUGUACAUUUACCAAUCCUGCAUGCUCUGGUGUUUUGUUUGGCGGGUGCCGAGCAUCCUUCCAAGCAAAAAUUUUGCUAGGUCUUACUUUCGGGGGAGGCCUUAUAUUUAGCAAUUCAGCAAAACUUCUGCUAGGUCUUAUUUUUUGGGGAUGUCUUAUUUUCAGGGAAACAGGGUAGAACUGGAUUAUAAAGACACACAUAAUCCAGUUCUAUGCAGUUAAACUGCAUUUUAAAACUGCAUUAUUUGGCAGUGUAGACCCAGCCUCGGUAUACAUUACCUUUAAAUACUCAUAUGGUUGCGGUCAGAAGUAGGAUGAAAGUGGAGGAAGAAAAAGCAUUGGCCUGUAUCAAUUAUAGUGAUUUAGGUUACUCUCCCAAUAAUUUCUUUCUCCUCAAGGCACAUCAUUUGUUCACUCAGCGUUUAGGAAGAAUCUAAAUGAUGUUGCUCUCAGCCACUGCAUGCUAGUGUUUUAUUGUCCUUCCUUGUAUGUUCAGAAAUACCGUAAGACCUCCAUAUCUAUAAGGAAUAAACUCCUGGGUGAAAACAUGGAUAUGAUCAAAUGCCAUUAAAUAUCUCACUUCAGUGCCGACAUACCAUCAAGUUGUGUUGGAGGACCUAGAGAGGCAUCUUUUCUAGACAUUUGCUAGAUCCUCAGUGCAACUCUUUAAUAUCUUAUUAGAAAAGUAUACCAUAUAAUUGCCUUGAGGACCUAGCAAAUUCCUGGAGAGACCAUUUUCCACCUGAGUGUUGUCAAACCACUGGUAUGGGUUCCAUUGGUAUGGGAGGGUCAUGCAGUGAUUUAUUAUUUUUGAUCUUAGAAAUAUUACUGUUGUGAUAUUGUAGUAACAGUAGUUGAAUACUGCUGUCAGUGCAACAUGGAUGUGUGUAAUUAAAGCUUUUACCCAUAGAGCAGAGUAAAUUAAAAAGCCAAAUGAGGAUGCUGAAGCCUCAGGUGAACAGGAAACAACUAAAUCAUAUUUAAAGUGUUAAUAACCAACAACCAGAAACUGCUAUAAGAUAAAGGAACAAGGAAGAAGACAGUAAUUAGAGAAUAACAAUCUGGGAAAGAAACACUUAAGUGACCUAUCUUUUAAAAAAGUCUUGCCAAUCGAGAGAGGACAGAUUUUGUAGGCUUGGAAAGUUAAAUAUAGCUCUAUAAUAAGCAAUGAGUUGAGUCAUUCAUUUCAUUUUACUUCUGAUUGCAGAACAGCAUUGUUCCAGCAGUUUGUGUGUAGAGCCUUGUGUAGAAGCAUCUUUAGGGUCUCAAAUGUAGAACCUUGUAGUAAAAUGUUGUUUCUUGGGCUAUGAUUACUAAACCUUGUCUUUUGAAGGAAAAUCAUAAGUUAAAAAAUACUUUUUUCUUAAUUAGGUACCCAGGAUGGGAAAGAUAUUACAUUGUUCAAACAUGCUGCUGUUCUUCACUUGCUGGUAACAGUUCGAGACCUCUUACUAACAUGUAACUUGAGCACAGCAUUGGGUUAGUUUUAUAAGUAAAUAUGUGUGUGUGUUUGUGUGUGUUCAGUCACCUGUCGACUUAAAGUGAUCCUAUGAGUAGUAUAGGUUUUUAGGGCAAGGAAUAGUCAGAGGUGUUUUUCACGUUCCUUCCUUUGAAAUAAAGCCUAGAGUACCUAAAUCAGUGGUUCUCAACCUGUGGGUCCCCAAAUGUUUUGGCCUUCAACUCCCAGAAAUCCAAACAUCUGGUAAACUGGCUGGGAUUUCUGGGAGUUGUAUGCCAAAACACCUGGAGACCCACAGGUUGAGAACCACUGACCUAAGUGGUCUUUCAUUCAAGUACAGACCAGAGUUGUUAUUAUUUGGCUUGCGAGAUUGGACAAAAUCUAGCGCUUUUAGGGUAUUUAGACAUGGCUAUAAAUAAAUUUACACUAUCAUAAUUUAAAUGAAAUAUAUAUUUGAAAGCCUACUGUUAAAUAGAGAAACUCUGUCAUUAUAUGAACAUCUGUUGGUAUUCUUAAUAUUUUGGUUGUAAAAUAGUUUGUAUAGUUUUAUAAAAUUGUAGUUUGAUAGUCUCAGUCAAAUAUUUUAUUAUCAGGUUACUUGUAGCAAAGCUUUAGGGGUAUAAAUGGGAAAGGAAAAAAAUUAUUAAUCUACUUAUUUUUAAAUAGGAUAUUUGUCCAAGGCAAAGGAUAACUAUAAGGACUUCCUAGGCUCUAGCCUGGAUAAUAUUUGGAGACAGUUGAAGAUUGUGCAGUUUGCUCUACAGAAACAUGAAACCAAUCCCAAGAUAACAGAACUGCAGCAUCAAAUCUCUAAAUCUGUACACGGUAAUACAGAUGAUCAGAAUAAGGUAAAUUAUAUUAAAAGGUUGGUGACUGAUGAAAAUCAUUGUAUGGUUUUAUUGGGUCGCUUUGAGUUUUCCGGGCUGUAUAGCCAUGUUCCAGAAGCAUUCUCUCCUGACGUUUCGCCCACAUCUAUGGCAGACAUUCUCAGAGGUAAUGAGGUCUGUUGGAAACUAGUAAAGUGGGAUUUAUAUACAGUAGAGUCUCACUUAUCCAAGCUAAACAGGCCGGCAGAAGCUUGGAUAAGCGAAUAACUUGGAUAAUAAGGAGAGAUUAAGGAAAAGCCUAUUAAACAUCAAAUUGGGUUAUGAUUUUACAAAUUAAGCACCAAAACUUCAUGUUAUACAACAAAUUUGACAGAAAAAGUAGUUCAAUACGCAGUAAUGUUAUGUUGUAAUUACUGUAUUUACGAAUUUAGCACCAAAAUGUCACAAUAUAUUGAAAACAUUGACUACAAAAAUGGCUUGGAUUAUCCAGAGGCUUGGAUAAGCGAGGCUUGGAUAAGUGAGACUCUACUGUAUCUGGAAUGUUCAGAAUGGGAUAAAGAACUCUUGUCUGUUUGAGACAAAUGUGAAUAUUGUAGUUGGCCACCUUGAUUAGUAUUGAAUGGCCUUUCAGCCUCAAAGCCUGGCUGCUUCCUGUCUGGGAGAAUCCUUUGUUGGGAAGUGUUAGCUGGUCCUGAUUGUUUCCUGUCUGGAAUUCCCCUGUUUUCUGAGUGUUGUUCUUUAUUUACUGUCCUGAUUUUAGAGUUUUUUAUACUGGUAGCCAGAUUUUGUUCAUGUUCAUGGUUUCUUCCUUUCUGUUUCUCCUUUAUGGUUUUAUUGCUACAACUGACAGAUAAAAUUAUACAUAAAGUAAGAAUACUUAGGGAAGGGAUGUGUUCCCUUAAAGUAACAGAGAGCCCCAGCUUGUCUUUUGAAAUGUGGCCCUUCUUACUUACUGGAAAUUCUUUUGCUACAACUCCUAAAAUGUGCAAAAAGUGCUAGUAAUAGCAGACAUGUGCAACUCCAACCUGUCACCUUAAUGAAGUUAUUUUCUAAUUAGCAGAUGUGUACAUGAAAUUCCUCUAAAUGCAGCUCUUCCUAGUAAGAUCAAGAGCUUCUAGAAGGGCUAUCCCAGGGCAUUUUAACUGCCUAAAGUGGAUCAACAAAUAUCAUUUUCAACUUAACACAUUUAUUUUUAGCAAGAUUUAUUCAGAGUAGGCUUGCUAGCUCCUUCUUCUGAGUCUACGGGAAUUUGGCUUGGCCAAGCUGACAUGAUGGGUUUUCAUGGAUUAGCAGAGAUUAAACCCCGGUCCCCAACAGUCAUAGUUCAACACUCAAACUACUGAACCACAUUGGCACUUUUUCAGUUGUUAGUCCUAUCUAAAAUAGACCCAUUGAACAGUGGAGUACUGGUAAGGCAACAGAUAGACCACUUGUGGCUGGAAAUUAGAUUUAGGCUGGGAUGAAUAAUUUUAAAAUUGUUGCCCUUUCAUGAUGCUUAAAAUCAUGAGAUGGC
rnacentral:lncRNA from 1 species